GAGUUUGAUCAUGGCUCAGAACGAACGCUGGCGGCAGGCCUAACACAUGCAAGUCGUACGAGAAGGUUCUUUCGGGAACUGGAGAGUGGCGCACGGGUGAGUAACGCGUGGGGACCUACCUCUUAGUGGGGGAUAACGGUUGGAAACGACCGCUAAUACCGCAUACGCCCUUCGGGGGAAAGAUUUAUCGCUAAGAGAUGGACCCGCGUUGGAUUAGAUAGUUGGUGAGGUAACGGCUCACCAAGUCAGCGAUCCAUAGCUGGUUUGAGAGGAUGAUCAGCCACACUGGGACUGAGACACGGCCCAGACUCCUACGGGAGGCAGCAGUGGGGAAUAUUGGACAAUGGGCGCAAGCCUGAUCCAGCCAUGCCGCGUGAGUGAGGAAGGCCUUCGGGUUGUAAAGCUCUUUCAGAUGCGAAGAUGAUGACGGUAACAUCAGAAGAAGCCCCGGCUAAUUUCGUGCCAGCAGCCGCGGUAAUACGAAAGGGGCAAGCGUUGUUCGGAUUUACUGGGCGUAAAGGGCACGCAAGCGGUCUUGCCAGUCAGGGGUGAAAGCCCGGGGCUCAACCCCGGGACUGCCUCUGAUACUGCAGGACUAGAGACUAGGAUAGGGUGGUGAAUUUCCAGUGUAGAUGUGAAUUCGUAGAUUUGGGGAGGACACCAUAGGCAAAGCGGGCACCUGGAAUAGAUCUGACCGUCAAGUGGCUAAGCGUAGGGGAUCAAACAAGAUUAGAUAGCCCUGGUUAUUCCACGCCGAAACGACUGAUGGCAUAUCCUACUUUCGCAUGUGCGGACCCGCUAACCGACUAUCACAUCGCCCGGCAGACCGCCGCUAGAUAACACUCAAGGAUUGGCCGGGCUCUCAAUGUGCGUACAUUGUUCUAUCAAGACCGGCAAACUUGCAACUGGAUCCUACGGAUUCCGAGAUGGACUACCCUCGGGAAGGCACGGCAGCGAGUCCCCACAUGUCGAAUCGUGAAUGCCGCCAAGCAACCGAUCUUAGCUCUAGUGACGUGGAAUCGUCGUCACGAUA
rnacentral:rRNA from 1 species